rnacentral:rRNA from 1 species
AGAGUUUGAUCAUGGCUCAGAACGAACGCUGGCGGCAGGCCUAACACAUGCAAGUCGAGCGGGCCCUUCGGGGUCAGCGGCGGACGGGUGAGUAACGCGUGGGAACGUGCCCUUCUCUACGGAAUAGCCCAGGGAAACUUGGAUUAAUACCGUAUACGCCCUUUUGGGGAAAGAUUUAUCGGAGAGGGAUCGGCCCGCGUUGGAUUAGGUAGUUGGUGGGGUAACGGCCCACCAAGCCGACGAUCCAUAGCUGGUUUGAGAGGAUGAUCAGCCACACUGGGACUGAGACACGGCCCAGACUCCUACGGGAGGCAGCAGUGGGGAAUCUUCGGCAAUGGGCGCAAGCCUGACCGAGCCAUGCCGCGUGAGCGAUGAAGGCCUUAGGGUUGUAAAGCUCUUUCGCCAGGGAUGAUAAUGACAGUACCUGGUAAAGAAACCCCGGCUAACUCCGUGCCAGCAGCCGCGGUAAUACGGAGGGGGUUAGCGUUGUUCGGAAUUACUGGGCGUAAAGCGCGCGUAGGCGGACUGGAAAGUUGGGGGUGAAAUCCCGGGGCUCAACCUCGGAACUGCCUCCAAAACUCCCAGUCUCGAGUUCGAGAGAGGUGAGUGGAACUCCGAGUGUAGAGGUGAAAUUCGUAGAUAUUCGGAAGAACACCAGUGGCGAAGGCGGCUCACUGGCUCGAUACUGACGCUGAGGUGCGAAAGUGUGGGGAGCAAACAGGAUUAGAUACCCUGGUAGUCCACACCGUAAACGAU